rnacentral:rRNA from 1 species
UACGUAGGGUGCGAGCGUUGUCCGGAAUUAUUGGGCGUAAAGCGCGCGUAGGCGGCCUCAUAAGUCCGUUGUGAAAGUCAAAGGCUCAACCUUUGAAAGCCGAUGGAUACUGUGAGGCUAGAGUCCGGAAGAGGCGAGUGGAAUUCCUGGUGUAGCGGUGGAAUGCGCAGAUAUCAGGAGGAACACCAAUAGCGAAGGCAGCUCGCUGGGACGGUACUGACGCUAAGGCGCGAAAGCGUGGGGAGCGAACAGG